CAUGCAGUCGAGGGGUAUAUGUCUUCGGAUAUAGAGACCGGCGCACGGGUGCGUANNNCGUAUGCAAUCUGCCUUUCACAGAGGGAUAGCCCAGAGAAAUUUGGAUUAAUACCUCAUAGUAUUAUANGANGGCAUSRUUUUAUNAUUAAAGUCACAACGGUGAAAGAUGAGCAUGCGUCCCAUUAGUUAGUUGGUAAGGUAACGGCUUACCAAGACUUCGAUGGGUAGGGGUCCUGAGAGGGAGAUCCCCCACACUGGUACUGAGACACGGACCAGACUCCUACGGGAGGCAGCAGUGAGGAAUAUUGGUCAAUGGGCGCAAGCCUGAACCAGCCAUGCCGCGUGCAGGAUGACGGUCCUAUGGAUUGUAAACUGCUUUUGUACNAGAAGAAACACUCCUACGUGUAGGAGCUUGACGGUAUCGNAAGAAUAAGGAUCGGCUAACUCCGUGCCAGCANCCGCGGUAAUACGGANGAUCCAAGCGNUAUCCGGAAUCAUUGG
rnacentral:rRNA from 1 species